UUUACAGUGAGGGAUAUUGGUCAAUAGCCUAACCGGCUGAACCAGCAACUUGGAGGAAUGUACAGGGAAAACUGGUAAAAUGUGAUGUACCUGAUAGUAUUAGUGAUUAAUAUGAAAUUAACUAAGUUAAUUAAAAUUCGAAGUAGAUAUGUGAUUAUGACAAUAUUUGCUUAUUUCUUGACUAAGUCACGUGCCAGCAGUCGCGGUAAUACGUGGUAGAUAAGUGUUAUUCAUCUUUAAUAGGUUUAAAGGGUACCUAGACGGUUAAUUAAGCAUAUAAGUGUACUAAUUAUUAACUAGAGUUUAAUGUAAGAAGGAUUGAGUACGGUGAGUGUAGAGAUAAAAUUCUAUCAUACCACUUAGGAACUGGUAAAGGCGAAGGCAACCUUUUAUGUAAAAACUGACGUUAAGGGACGAAGGCUCGUAUUAAAUAAUAGGAUUAGAGACCCUAGUAUUGUGGGCAGACAAUGAUGAGUGUCAUAUGCAAGAAAUAUUUUGUGUAUAAAUGAAAGUGUAAGCACUCCACCUCAAGAGUAACGUGGCAACAUGGGAACUGAAAUCAUUAGACCGUUUCUGAAACUCGUAGUGAAGUAUGUUGUUUAAUUUGAUAAUCCUCAAAUAACCUUACCACAAUUUGAAUUACUAGUACUCUUACUUUGAACAUUUAUUAGUUGUUUCUUAUUAUUAAUAGUUUAGCUUUUCUAUUAGUAUUUUAUCGAUAGCUAUUAAAUAUUUAGAGUAGCUAUUAGUAACAAGCGUUGCACGGCUGUCUUCAGUCAAUGUUGUGAAACUUUGGUUAGAUCCAUUAAAUUGACGUAAACCCUUGCUUUAUUUGUUAUAAAGCAGUUCGCCGCUAUAUUGGUAGUGAUAGAAGGGACCAAGACAAGUCAUCAUGACCUGAACAUUGUGGGCUAUAGACGUGCCCAAUAUC
rnacentral:rRNA from 1 species